UGAAAAAAAGAGAAAGAGAGAGAAAGAACUUUCUUUCUUUCUUUCUUUCGAUUUAUUGAAAGCUCUUAAAUAGUGGAUAUAUAUAUAUACAUAUAUA
rnacentral:ribozyme from 1 species